CUCGUAGGGCCGCUAUUGCUUGGAAGCAGCAUGGGAAUGGAGAUCGCCGCGAUCGGGCGAUUGGUUUUCCUCGCUCGCCAUCUCCUCCCUCCCCAAAAUCGUCUCCCGGGACCCUUAUCUGAAUCCCAUCGGUUCGUCGGAAUCGACUCCGCGGGCUCACCCUCUGUCAUGGAUAGUUUUGAACAUCGACGCCAAGCCGUACACCGACCUCGCUACCGGCAACGCUGAUCCUGACUUUUCCCGUGCUUUCAGCCUUUGAGGUGAAGCAUUGAUAGACAUCGUUGGUGUGACUGCAUCCUGCUAAGAAUUAAAUCAUGAAACUUGGUGGUGAUUUGCAAGAGAGAGAGGUAUAAGCAGGCCUGAAAGUAUUUAGCAGCAAAGUGCACUCAGAUUUUUUUUCCUGGCAUGAACAUCUCAUCACUCUGAAUGGAUAAGGUUGUCAAGAAAGGUUGUGGAUGGAAUUGCUGCCCCAUCCUUUGUACCUCACAUGGGAGACUUCAGAAGCAUACUUCAUUGCUGGUGCUUGUGAGAAACUCAGUGCAAACAGAAACAAGGAAGGACUCCAUUAACAAUGGAUAAGGUUGUCAAGAAAGGUUGUGGAUGGAAUUGCUGCCCCAUCCUUUGUACCUCACAUGGGAGACUUCAGAAGCAUACUUCAUUGCUGGUGCUUGUGAGAAACUCAGUGCAAACAGAAACAAGGAAGGACUCCAUUAACAAUGCUUUGAAGAGCCAUUCAUGUACCCUCCAAAAGGACCUCAAGAGACUCACUCGAAUCUGGUGCACAUGAGAAACCAAGUACAAGUAGCAUCAAUAUAACUGCUAUAUCUCUACCCUAGGGAAAACCUUCUUGGACAAAUAGAAGCGUGGAAUCUUAAUUGAGUUGAAGUAGCCAGUGACCAUAACAUCCUUUCACAAGGUGGAAUGGAUGAGGUCCUGGCUAAGUUCAAGAAGGGCAAAGGACAGGGCAAGAAUACAUCACAAGAAUGAUCUAAUGACAGGAAAUGUGAUCAUUAAUGAAAUUUUACAGAAAAAGAAAGAAAAGAAUCCAACUCUCAUUGGUUUCCCUUUUCUGUCUAGUUGGUGUGUGAUCAUCCGAGAUGCAAAACUUCAGUUGCUUGCUCCCCGGAUAGACAAGCAAAUGACCUCAAAAGUACUGAAAGGCCUUGGAUAACUCAACCAUAUGAGUUUUGUUAUUGGAUGAAACCUUGAUAAUGCUUUUUGUUAUGAUUGUAGUAUCUCAAGUUUCAUGUGUUUGGAUGAGUGCAGUUUGUCUGUUGUCAUCCUGUGUUUGAAGUUUUCAUCCCGGAAUAAAAAAAAUCAAAUUUGUA